rnacentral:sRNA from 1 species
GUGCUCUGGCCGUCUGGCUCCGACAACAAGCACCGGGCUCCGGGUGGCCGGGAUCAGCGCCCGAGGCAGAGGCCGGAGGGCGCGCGCACUGCUAGGAAGUGCUGGUCCCCCGCGCCGCUCUGCCUCCUUGGUCCCCCGGCAGACGCCCCUGCACGAUCGUCGCUCGCCCCGCGGGCGAGGCUGCGGGGGACAGCGCGGGGCUCCGGCUGGCUCUCCUUCCCGCCUGCCGUGUCCUGCUGAGCGACCCUGGAGUACACAUCCAGAUGCCGGCCCAGCUACCACAGGGGAUCCCUCUGGGAGACUGAAAGUACAGGUUCUGGGGCCCAGGUUGAGGCCGACCAACCCUGAGCCUCAGGCCAGGGGAAUGGCAGCCCCCUUGGAGCCCCAGGACCAGGCCCCUGGGGAGGGAGAAGGGCUUCUGAUUGUGAAAGUGGAAGAUUCCUCCUGGGAACAGGAAUCUGCCCAACAUGAGGACGGCAGGGAUUCCGAAGCCUGCCGCCAGCGCUUCCGGCAAUUCUGCUAUGGGGAUGUGCAUGGGCCUCAUGAGGCCUUCAGCCAGCUCUGGGAGCUCUGCUGCCGCUGGUUGCGGCCUGAGCUGCGUACCAAGGAGCAGAUCCUGGAGCUGCUGGUGCUGGAGCAGUUCCUGGCAGUGCUGCCAGGGGAGAUCCAGGGCUGGGUGCGUGAGCAGCACCCGGGAAGUGGCGAGGAGGCUGUCGCCUUGGUGGAGGACCUACAGAAGCAGCCAGUGAAAGCCUGGCCACAGGUGAGGGGCCCUUCCACAUCCAGGGGCACCUGGAUGGUACCUGAGCUCAAGAGAAGUGGGUACCCUGCAAAGAUAACUCUCCCAGAGGCUCACACAAGCACAGCGUGCCAUGGGUGCUUUUCUGAAAGAUGCAAUCCAAAGUAAAUGUGAUUUAUUUUUUGUGGCUUUGGAAGGCAGCAAUAGGGCUGAAGUGCGAAUGUUCCACAUAGGAGGUUUUAGUUCCAUGUAGGGUCUGCUGAUGUUUAUUUGCAUUUUGCUCUAGGCCUGGCUCUGGGGACACAAGGAUGUGCAUAGAGCCAGCUCCAGAGUGGGGCGAGAAGGUGGAGCUGUCCGGGGCCCCUGCUACCUUGUGGGAUGUUGGGUCCUUCACAUUGGAUGCAUCUGGGGAGGUUCUAAUGAGUGGCUGGGGGAUGGGGUUCUGCCUCUGGCAGGAGGGUCCCUAGCUACCCCCUUGCUAAGUGGCUGUGAUUCUGGCCUUUCAGGGCUGGUUCUUGCCUCGUGAAUGAUCGGGGAGCAUCCUUGGGCACACAGCAUUACCUGGUACCACAUUCUCCUCUGGACUUUCCUGGGGCACCAUAUUGGUCUCCUUCUCACACCCCAGUAUCCUGAGGGUCAUGUCCUGUGUCUCCUUCCCAGGGAAUAAACUGUCUCCCCCGGUCUGGUCUCGGGCUGAUGAGCAUAUUGUGGUUCCUGCACAGGAUGUGCCCUCGGAGGAGGCGGAACCCGAGGCUGCAGGCCAGGGAUCUCAGGCCAAGGGGCCUCCCCCAGUGGUGGGGGCACGGAGGCGGCCAUCUGUUCCCCAGGAGCAGCACAGCCAUAGCGGUGAGUAAGCCUCCAUCCUUGUCGGCAGUAGAGUGGCUGGUCAGGGACCUAGCUUUGUCACCGGCGUUGCCCUAAGGGUCACAGGCAGGACAGCUCCCUCUGUGAAGUCCAGGGCGUGCGUGCAUGCGCACAGGCUGGGGAGGCCAUAGGCGUUGGUGUCAAGCCUGGGCUGGCCUUUCUAAGGCUCCAUUCUUCUCCUUCAGCCCAGCCUCCUGCUCUUCUUAAAGAGGGGCGUACCAGAGAGACGACGGACACCUGCUUUGUCUCUGGGGUCCAUGUGAGUCACCAGUCCCUUUGUCUUCUAUAAGGCACUUGGCUCUGUUGAGUUUGUAAAAUGGGACUUGCUGUCCCAUCAGGCCUCUUUCAUCUGACCCAUCCUGUCCCCGCCAGUGCUGCUGGGAGGCCUGAGCAAGGGAGCCCUGAGCCGGGUCUUCUUACCCCAUUCCAGGGACCUGUGGCAUUGGGAGACAUUCCAUUCUAUUUCUCCCGGGAAGAAUGGGGCACCCUGGACCCUGCUCAGCGGGAUCUCUUCUGGGACAUAAAGCGGGAGAACUCCCGGAACACCACCCUGGGUAAGCACCCAGGGCCUUUGGGUCCAGGCUGGCCGCCCCACAUUCUGCUGGAACUUCAGUCUUGUUUCCCACCCCAUCCUUAGCUGGUUCCAAAGGAGGCUCUCCCUAGGUCUUGCCAGGAGCCUGAGUAACUCCUUUCUUGGCUGACGAUCAGUUUUUGUGUGUUUCCACACGCAGCGUGGGACGGCGCUGGCACUGCCCAGCCCUGCAUGAGCGCUUGUGAGGGCAACUUCUUUGAGUUUCACAACCUAGUGCAUGGAAGUAUUGUCCCCAUUUUACACAUAAGGGACCUCAGACUCAGGUCAGUGGAUGCUGAAGGGACACAGCUGGGACUUGGAUCAGGCAUAGUUGUGAGGCCACCUUGGGCUGCUAGGAGCAGGGGUGCUGACGGGGAACCCCAGCUGCUCAUCAGCCUGGGCCCCUGCUCAUCAGAACUGCACUUACCAGGUCCCUCUCCAUGCCAGGCCCCUUCUCAGCACCAUCAGGGAUCAUCUUGUUCAGUCCACACUCGCAGCGGGAUGGGCUGCGACCUCUGUCGAGAUCUGUCCAGAUCUGUGUUGAGUUUGGAGAACUAGAGCCUGUGUGGUGAAGGGAGCCACCCUAGCUAGACCAGUUUGGCUCCUCAGUUUCCGACUGUGACAGUUGGGAAAAAUUUUCUUUCUUUUUUUUUUUGAGAUGGAGUCUUGCUCUGUCGCCAGGCCGGAAUGCAGUGGUAUGACCUCAGCUCACUGAAACUUCCACCUCCCGGGUUCAAGCAGUUCUCCUGCCUCAGCCUGAGUAGCUGGGAUUACAGGCAUGAGCCACCAUGCCCGGCUAAUUUUUUUGUAUUUUUAAUAGAGACGAGUUUCCACCAUGUUGGUCAGGCUGGUCUCGAACUCCUGACUUCGUGAUCCGCCUGCCUCGACCUCCCAAAGUGCUGGGAUUACAGGUGUGAGCCACCGCGCCCGGCCCUUGAAAAUUUUCAAAAUUACUAUAAAUUGUUCUGCUAUGGAGCUUGAUAUCGGGUUCAGAGUGGGAGAUUGGAUCUCAGUGUGGCCUGCAGGGCACAGAUGGCUUAGGGGGCUGGCCCAUGCAGGCGGGAUCAGAGGCUUAUUCAGACUGCUGCUCUGCCGAAUUUUUUCAUCAUCCUUGAUUUAUUUGUGUUUUUGUUUGUUUUUGAGACAAAGUCUCGCUCUUGGAGCGCAAUGGCAUGAUCCCGGCUCACUGCAACCUCCGCUUCCUGGGUUCAAGUGAUUCUUCUGCCUUAGCCUCCUGAGUAGCUGGGAUUACACAUGUGCGCCACCAGGCCCUGCUGAUUUUUGCAUUUUUUAGUAGAGACAGGGUUUCGCCAUGUUGGCUAGGCUGGUCUCGAACUCCUAACUUCAGGUGAUCCGCCCGCCUCAGCCUCCCAAAAUGUUGGGAUUACAGGCUUGAGCCACUGCGCCCGGCCAAUCAUCCCUGUUUUAUAGAUGAGGAACCUGAGGAUUCAGCUGUGUGAACCCAGGGUUUUCUGAACCUGGAGGGCAGGGAGCUUUUCCCAGCCUUGUUUCUUCCUCACCUCAGCUCUGGCCGCAGAACCGAGUGGGACUGAAGAGGUCGCCUCCUUCCCUUUGCAGGUUUGGGGCUCAAAGGCCAAAGUGAGAAGUCCCGGCUGCAGGAGGUGGUGCCGGUGGUGCCAGGCCAGACAGGCAGCUACGUGACUGUGUCCUGGAGCCCCGAGGAGGCUGAGGCCUGGGAGAGCGAGAACCGGCCAAGGGCGGCCCUGGGCCCAGUGGUGGGCGCGCGACGGGGGCGGCCACCCACUCGCCGGCGCCAGUUCCGGGACCUGGCAGCCGAGAAGCCGCACAGCUGCGGGCAGUGUGGAAAGCGCUUCCGCUGGGGCUCGGACCUGGCGCGGCACCAGCGCACGCACACGGGCGAGAAGCCACACAAGUGCCCUGAGUGCGACAAGAGCUUCCGCAGCUCCUCGGACCUGGUGCGCCACCAAGGCGUGCACACGGGCGAGAAGCCCUUCUCCUGUUCCGAGUGCGGCAAGAGCUUCAGCCGCAGCGCCUACCUGGCCGACCACCAGCGCAUCCACACGGGCGAGAAGCCUUUCGGCUGCAGCGACUGCGGCAAGAGCUUCUCGCUGCGCUCCUACCUGCUGGACCAUCGGCGUGUGCACACCGGUGAGCGGCCCUUCGGCUGCGGAGAGUGCGACAAGAGCUUCAAGCAGCGCGCGCACCUCAUCGCGCAUCAGAGCCUGCACGCCAAGAUGGCCCAGCCCGUGGGGUGAGCAGCUGGCUUGGCCGGAAACCCGGGGGAGGCCCAGCCACGGCACAUCCUGCUUCGUUCACCACUGGGACUCUCCUUCCAUCUGUGGCCACCUCCCGGGCUGUCCGAGGGACCCCAGGGUACCUCACACUCGGAGCUCGCCUGCCCUCCUCGGCUCUGAGGACCUGCUCAGCACUCAAAGGGAACGGAAGCUUCCCCCUCCCGCCCCCAAUCUUGUCCUCUUUCCCCCUUCUGCGCCUAGCAUUUCUCUUCCCCUCUAGUUUCCUGGAGCCCCAACACAUUCCCGGCAGGGGCAGCAGGGUGGCGAGGACUCAGGUCUAGGUCCCUUCCCAGAAGCCCCCGAGCCUCAUUUGACUGUGUGGCUCUUUGGCCCCCGCCCUGUGGGGUGGGUCCGUGGGUCAGGCCUCUGCCCUGCCAACCUGUGCCUUUCAGUGGGCGUGGAGGACUGGCCUUGGCCCCACAGGGGGCUGCUGGGCUUUGGGAGAGACAGCCCACACCUGUGGGACCGUGGGUGUUAGUCACGGCGGCAGGGGCUUUCUGGCCCCCAGCCACUCCCGUUUCCAGGCCAUGACCACUCUGCCCUGUCCUGGCCACAUGGACUUGGCCUGCCUUUGCCCUCGGCCUACUUGCCCUAGCAUGAGGCUCUGAGAGCCACCUGCCCACCAGUCUGGUGAGGAUAAUGGUGGCUCCAGCCACAGGAGGCCAACCCUGGAGACCAAGAACAGGGCGCCUGGCUGCCAUGUGCUCCUCCAGAGGUGCGGCUGCACCAGACUCAGCACUAGCACCCCACAUCAUCGGCACUAACGCCCCACUCCAUCAGCCCUGGCACCCUGCUCCAUCGGCACUAACGCCCCACUUGGCGCCCUGCUCCAUCGGCACUAACGCCCCACUCAGCGCCCCACUCCGUCGGCACUAACGCCCCCACUCCAACGGGCCCGCUCCAUCGGUACUGGCGCCCUGCUCCAUCGGCACUAACGCUCCACUCGGCGCCCUACUCCAUCAGCCCUAAUGCUCCACUCCAUCGGCCAGUAACGCCCCCACUCCAGCGGCACUAAUGACCCGCUCCUUUGGCAUUGGCGCCCCACUCCAUCAGCACUAACGCCCCGCUCCAUCGACACUGGUGCCCCACUCCAUUGUCACUAACGUCCAGCUCCAUCGGCAUUACCACCCCGCUCCAUCAUCACUACGUCCAGCUCCAUCAGCACUGGCGCCUCGCGCCAUCGGCACUGACGCCUCGCGCCAUCGGCACUGACGCCCCGCUCCAUUGGCAUUAACGCCCCACUCGGCGCCCCACUCCAUCAGCACUAACAUACCCCGCUCCAUCGGCACUAACGCCCAGCUUCAUUGGCACUUUGCUGCUGCCUCCUGAGCACUGCCUUCCAUAAACAGGGACAGACCAGAGGCCCUGCAAGGACUCCCCCCACGGACCUCCAAAGGGCAACAGAAGAGUAUUAAUAAACGUGAAAACUUA